rnacentral:rRNA from 1 species
AUACGUAGGGGGCGAGCGUUGUCCGGAAUGACUGGGCGUAAAGGGCGCGUAGGCGGCCUGGUAAGUUAGGAGUGAAAUUCCAUUUCUCAAGGAUGGACGUGCUUGUAAUACUGUCGGGCUAGAGUGCAGAAGAGGUAAGCGGAAUUCCCAGAGUAGCGGUGAAAUGCGUAGAGAUUGGGAAGAACACCAGUGGCGAAGGCGGCUUACUGGGCUGUAACUGACGCUGAGGCGCGAAAUCGUGGGGAGCGAACAGGAUUAGAUACCCUGGUAGUCCACACUGUAAACGAUGAAUGCUAGGUGUAGGGGGUAUCGACCCCUUCUGUGCCGCAGUCAACACAAUAAGCAUUCCGCCUGGGGAGUACGGCCGCAAGGUUGAAACUCAAAGGAAUUGACGGGG